AUUGAACGCUGGCGGCAUGCCUAACACAUGCAAGUCGAACGGAGAUAGGGGCAACCUUAUUUCAGUGGCGGACGGGUGAGGAAUGCGUCGGAAUCUGCCCUAUGGUGGGGGAUAACACAGGGAAACUUGUGCUAAUACCGCAUAAUGUCGAGAGACCAAAGCAGGGGACCGCAAGGCCUUGCGCGAUAGGAUGAGCCGACGCCCGAUUAGCUUGUUGGUAGGGUAAUGGCCUACCAAGGCGACGAUCGGUAGCUGGUCUGAGAGGAUGAUCAGCCACACUGGGACUGAGACACGGCCCAGACUCCUACGGGAGGCAGCAGUAGGGAAUAUUGGACAAUGGGGGGAACCCUGAUCCAGCCAUGCCGCGUGAGGGAAGAAGGUCCUCUGGAUUGUAAACCUCUUUUGGCAGGAAACAAACCUGCGCUAUACGCGCAGCUGAGGGUACCUGCAGAAUAAGCACCGGCUAACUCCGUGCCAGCA
rnacentral:rRNA from 1 species